rnacentral:rRNA from 1 species
AACGAACGCUGGCGGCAUGCCUAACACAUGCGAGUCGAACGAGACCUUCGGGUCUAGUGGCGCACGGGUGCGUCACGCGUGGGAAUCUGCCCUUAGGUUCGGAAUAACUCCCCGAAAGGGGUGCUAAUACCGGAUAAUGUCUUCGGACCAAAGAUUCAUCGCCUUUGGAUGGGCCCGCGUUGGAUUAGCUAGUUGGUAGGGUAAAAGCCUACCAAGGCGACGAUCCAUAGCUGGUCUGAGAGGAUGAUCAGCCACACUGGGACUGAGACACGGCCCAGACUCCUACGGGAGGCAGCAGUGGGGAAUAUUGGACAAUGGGCGAAAGCCUGAUCCAGCAAUGCCGCGUGAGUGAUGAAGGCCUUAGGGUUGUAAAGCUCUUUUACCCGGGAUGAUAAUGACAGUACCGGGAGAAUAAGCUCCGGCUAACUCCGUG